rnacentral:rRNA from 1 species
AGGGCCGCAGUAAUUUGACUGUGCGAAGGUAGCAUAAUCAUUAGUCUUUUAAUUGGAGGCUUGUAUGAAUGGUUGGAUGAGGGAUGAACUGUCUUGUGUGUAUUGUUUGAAUUUAACUUUUAAGUGAAAAGGCUUAGAUUAUUUAGGGGGACGAUAAGACCCUAUAAAACUUAAUAUUGAUGUUUAUAAAUUAUGGAUAAAGUUUAAAAUGAUUUUUGGGUUUUAAUAUUUCAUUGGGGCGAUGAAGAUAUAAUAAUUAACUGUUUUGUAAAUUAAAUAAUAAUUAUUAGAUAAUGAUCCUAUAUUAUGGAUUAUAAGAUCAAGUUACUUUAGGGAUAACAGCGUAAUUUUCUUUGAGAGUUCUUAUCGACAAGAGUAGUUGCGACCUCGAUGUUGAAUUAAAAUUUCAGCUGGGUGAAGCAGCUCAGCUAGUAGGUCUGUUCGACCUUUAAAAUUUUA